CUAUGGCCAUACCAGCCUGAACGUGCCCAGUCUGAUCUUGGAAGCUAAGCAGGGUCAGGUCAGAAAGGAGAAGAAUAUGAGUUCUAUAGGAGUGAUGUGACAUCUCACAGCUGCACAGU
rnacentral:rRNA from 1 species